UACGUAGGGUGCAAGCGUUAAUCGGAAUUACUGGGCGUAAAGCGUGCGCAGGCGGUUUUGUAAGUCUGUCGUGAAAGCCCCGGGCUCAACCUGGGAAUGGCGAUGGUGACUGCAAGGCUAGAGUUUGGCAGAGGGGGGUAGAAUUCCACGUGUAGCAGUGAAAUGCGUAGAUAUGUGGAGGAACACCGAUGGCGAAGGCAGCCCCCUGGGUCAAAACUGACGCUCAUGCACGAAAGCGUGGGGAGCAAACAGG
rnacentral:rRNA from 1 species